AGUGGACGCUGGCGGUAGGCCUAACACAUGCAAGUCGAACGGCAGCACAGUAAGAGCUUGCUCUUACGGGUGGCGAGUGGCGGACGGGUGAGGAAUACAUCGGAAUCUACUUUUUCGUGGGGGAUAACGUAGGGAAACUUACGCUAAUACCGCAUACGACCUACGGGUGAAAGCAGGGGAUCUUCGGACCUUGCGCGAUUGAAUGAGCCGAUGUCGGAUUAGCUAGUUGGCGGGGUAAAGGCCCACCAAGGCGACGAUCCGUAGCUGGUCUGAGAGGAUGAUCAGGCAAACUGGAACUGGGACACGGUCCAAACCCCUACGGGAGGCAGCAGUGGGGAAUAUUGGACAAUGGGCGCAAGGCUGAUCCAGCCAUACCGCGUGGGUGAAGAAGGCCUUCGGGUUGUAAAGCCCUUUUGUUGGGAAAGAAAAGCAGCAGGUUAAUACCCCGCUGUUCUGACGGUACCCAAAGAAUAAGCACCGGCUAACUUCGUG
rnacentral:rRNA from 1 species